AGUCGACGGCAGCACGGGCUUCGGUCUGGUGGCGAGUGGCGAACGGGUGAGUAAUAUAUCGGAACAUACCCUAGAGUGGGGGAUAACGUAGCGAAAGUUACGCUAAUACCGCAUACGAACUAAGGUUGAAAGUGGGGGAUCGCAAGACCUCAUGCUCAUGGAGUGGCCGAUAUCUGAUUAGCUAGUUGGUGAGGUAAUGGCUCACCAAGGCGACGAUCAGUAGCUGGUCUGAGAGGACGACCAGCCACACUGGAACUGAGACACGGUCCAGACUCCUACGGGAGGCAGCAGUGGGGAAUUUUGGACAAUGGGGGCAACCCUGAUCCAGCAAUGCCGCGUGAGUGAAGAAGGCCUUCGGGUUGUAAAGCUCUUUUGUCAGGGAAGAAACGGUGAAGGCUAAUAUCCUUUGCUAAUGACGGUACCUGAAGAAUAAGCACCGGCUAACUACGUGCCAGCAGCCGCGGUAAUACGUAGGGUGCAAGCGUUAAUCGGAAUUACUGGGCGUAAAGCGUGCGCAGGCGGUUAUAUAAGACAGAGGUGAAAUCCCCGGGCUCAACCUGGGAACUGCCUUUGUGACUGUAUGGCUAGAGUGUGUCAGAGGGGGGUAGAAUUCCACGUGUAGCAGUGAAAUGCGUAGAGAUGUGGAGGAAUACCGAUGGCGAAGGCAGCCCCCUGGGAUAACACUGACGCUCAUGCACGAAAGCGUGGGGAGCAAACAGGAUUAGAUACCCUGGUAGUCCACGCCCUAAACGAUGUCUACU
rnacentral:rRNA from 1 species